rnacentral:rRNA from 1 species
ACGGGAGGCAGCAGUGGGGAAUAUUGCACAAUGGGCGUAAGCCUGAUGCAGCAACGCCGCGUGAGGGAAGACGGUCUUCGGAUUGUAAACCUUUGUCUUUGGUGAAGAAGCAAGUGACGGUAGCCGAGGAGGAAGCCACGGCUAACUACGUGCCAGCAGCCGCGGUAAUACGUAGGUGGCAAGCGUUGUCCGGAAUUACUGGGUGUAAAGGGAGCGCAGGCGGGACUGCAAGUUGGAUGUGAAAUACCGAGGCUUAACCACGGAGCUGCAUCCAAAACUGUAGUUCUUGAGUGAAGUAGAGGCAGGCGGAAUUCCGAGUGUAGCGGUGAAAUGCGUAGAUAUUCGGAGGAACACCAGUGGCGAAGGCGGCCUGCUGGGCUUUAACUGACGCUGAGGCUCGAAAGUGUGGGGAGCAAACAGGAUUAGAUACCCUGGUA